rnacentral:rRNA from 1 species
UGCGUAGGCGGCUUUGCAAGUCUGAUGUGAAAUCUCCGGGCCCAACCCGGAAAUGGCAUUAGAAACUGUGAGGCUGGAGGCUUGGAGGGGGAACUGGAAUACUUGGUGUAGCAGUGAAAUGCGUAGAUAUCAAGUGGAACACCGGUGGCGAAGGCGAGUUCCUGGACAAGACCUGACGCUGAGGCACGAAAGCCGGGGGAGCAAAACA